AACCCAGUGUGACUCGUCACACUAUCAUUAACUGAAUCCAUAGGUUAAUGAGGCGAACCGGGGGAACUGAAACAUCUAAGUACCCCGAGGAAAAGAAAUCAACCGAGAUUCCCCCAGUAGCGGCGAGCGAACGGGGAGGAGCCCAGAGCCUGAAUCAGCAUGUGUGUUAGUGGAAGCGUCUGGAAAGGCGCGCGAUACAGGGUGACAGCCCCGUACACAAAAGCGCAUGUGCUGUGAGCUCGAUGAGUAGGGCGGGACACGUGGUAUCCUGUCUGAAUAUGGGGGGACCAUCCUCCAAGGCUAAAUACUCCUGACUGACCGAUAGUGAACCAGUACCGUGAGGGAAAGGCGAAAAGAACCCCGGCGAGGGGAGUGAAAAAGAACCUGAAACCGUGUACGUACAAGCAGUGGGAGCCCCACCACCAAAGCAUUCUCUGGUGUUGAAGGC
rnacentral:rRNA from 1 species